rnacentral:lncRNA from 1 species
CUUUUUUGCUUUCUUCAAUUUCUUUGCUUUUCCCAUUUUCUUUCUUGAGAUAGUAAAAAUAGGAGAAAGAGACGACCACACCACAAUUUCUUCAUUCUACAAUUGCAUCAGUUUUCUUCAUCUUGUUGUGAUUUCUAAUCGACCGGUAUAGUGGGUUGUUUUCUAACCUUUUUCAAUUCGUCUUGUUGUGAUUUCCAACGGAUUUUUUGCAUUUAAUUGUGAUUUCUUCAUCUUUUUAUGUGUGCAUUUCUAAUUUUAAGUUCGUGAAAUUGACAGGUUGUGUGUUAAUAUUGACAGAGAGAGCUAUAUAAUUUUCUAAUUUAUUUUAUGCUUUCUGUGAUUAAAAUUGUCUAUCUUUGUGUGUGUGUGUGGGUUUUCUUUUUUUUUUUUUUUCUUUUUUUUCUUUUUAAUUUCAAAUAGAUUAUUGAGUUCACAAUGCUAGAUAUUUUAAUUCUUUCCUAAUGAAUUGAUUUUAUCUUUUGCUUCUCCUUUAUGGUGAAUUUUCGAGAGUCUUAUAUGUUAAACAGAGAGGUAUAUAAUUUUCUAAUUCAAUUUAUGCAUUAUGUGAUUAAAAUUGUAUGACCUUUAUUAUUGUUUUUUUUUUUCAAAUUUCAAAUGGAUUAUUGAGUUCACAAUGCUAGAUUAUUUUAGUUCUUUCUUGAUAAAUUGAUUUUAUUUUUAUUUUUUUGCUUCUUUUUUAUGGUGAAUUUCGCGAGGCUUAUAUGUUAGGAAGUUUUCUAAAGAGGAAAUUUUGAUUGGUUUGUGAUUUACAUUGAAUCUAUGUUGGAGGUUCAUGCAUUGAUUCUAAGCAGAUUUGAAUUUAGCACUAAAUUGUUGGAAUUUUUGUAGGUGCUUCUUGUCGUGUUUAUGAGUUAAUAUUUUGUUUUUCUUUGAUUUUCUAUCUUUAAUUCAAGUUUAGGCAAUCCGGCUUCUAUUCACUACAAAUCAGUUGCUAAUUUUUGCAAAUAUUUUUAGACCAAACUCUAGUUUGGAAUAUAUUAGAUUUUACCUAACCUAACUUUAUCUGUAGAAUGUGGACAUAAAUAAGUUUCUUCUUAAUAUUAUUUUGGUUUAAAUCUCGAAAACAUUAAAGUUUUGGUAAGUCCAUGAAUUAAAAGGUUGACCAAUUAAUUGAUUUGCUAGGUCCCCAAUGCUCCUUAGGAAAUUUUUUAUAUCUCUAUAUAUAAAUUUAUGGUGAAUUUUGACAUCAGUCAUCAAACUUUAUUUUGUUUCUUUUUUUAGAGAAAUAAUUUAUUUAGUCGACCUAAAAUUUAUUGGGUAAGAUUUGAUUUGUUAGUGUAAAGAGAAGGCAAACUCACAUUGCAUUUUGAAACUGUUUGUGUUUAUUACAUUUGUAUUACUAAUUAUGAAGGCUAUUAUACAUUUAGCCUCGAAAUUGUCGAGUUCGUAAUGUUCUUUUAUGGUAAUAUUUUUUCUUUUUCUUUUUCUUCAUUUAGUUGUUGUUGCUUACUUUCAGCUCAACUACUUGAUAAUUUUCUUCCUUUAUUGAUUGACAUAAUGGAACCACGUGCUCAUCAAGAGUCCCAUUUGUGUGACGCUCAAACUAAUUCUAAAAGUACAAGUCAGUCACAUGAUGCAUUAAUUCGUCAACAACGAAAUCAAAGAUGAAGAGAUCGACGACAUCAAGCUGAAAUUGAAUUCAUUAAUCAUCGUAAAAGAGUAACUCAACCUAUGUUAUCUACAAGUAAUAAUUCUCAUAUUGUCUAUGUACAGAACUUACAACCUACCAUCAUUCUUAGCCUUCCACUUCCAAAAAAUGAAGCAUUGAACACAAGCGAUACUAAAUUACGGAGAGUUCUAACCAAUUAAAUGUACCAUGUAUUGCAUAUGUAUUACUGACAUGCGCACAUUGUAAAGAUUGUGGUGCAAAAAAAUUCUAUAGAGAAAGUAAAGGUUUCUGUUGUUCUGAUGGAAAAGUUAAACUUUUCGUAUCUAAUCCGCCAACUGAACUGUACAAUUUAUUUACUUCUGAAGAACCUACAUGUAUGGAAUUCAAAAAAAUUGUCAGAGGAUAUAAUAAUCAUUUUGCAUUCACUUCAUUUGGGGUAAAGUAUGACAAAGAACUAUUUAAAUCAUACAUAGGUAUCUACACAUUAAGGAUUCGAGGUCAAGUAUGUCAUUACGUAAAUUCACUUAUGCUAGAAAAUAAUAUGCCUUCUUAUAUGCAGUUAUAUUUUUAUGACAAAGAUAACAAAGUUGAGAAUCAUAUGAAACUUUCGUAAAAUUUUGUUCAAUCUACUUUGAUUAGUUUAAUUGAAAUCCUUAAAAUAAAUCCAA